rnacentral:lncRNA from 1 species
GAAAAAAGCAACAGGAGUCCAUCCCAUUCUCUUGAGACAACAGGUUCACUGAUCACAGAGAAAAUUUCUUUUCCCUCAGAGUUUAGGCACCUUCAGGUCUGUGCUGUCACCAAUAUCCUUACUGCUACUGCCAUGGAGCAGGGAUUCAAGAUAACCAAAGGAAGACAAAGGUAAAGAAAAAUAAGAAGUUUUCUCCACUCUCUCUGAGCACUCAAAGAUUGUUUUUUUCACAUCUUGAGCCAGAACUAGAAGACUUCCAUUGCUCUCUCUCUUUCUAUAUCAAUACCCACUUCUGGGAUUCAGGCUUCCUUGGACCCAGGCUGGCAGAUGGAGAGCAAAAAAUGGGACAAAAUGGCAGCAGCCAGCCUGACCAUUCCCUUCCCAUCAUGAGGGAGAGGGCUGUGGUAUGGACAGCAGCAGCUGACUGGCCACAGGUGCAGCCACUGCCAUCCAGCCCCGACUCAUUCCUAGAAUAAGAACCACCAGACUGCCCUCUGACACCUGCCUCAGCGGUCCCCACCACUCCUCAAACCCUGUCACCGUCCACAGACAAGCCCUGGAGGGGUGGGGAAAAGGUUUCAUUGUGAGAAACCACUGGGGAUCCUGAAGUUAAAACUCAUCAAAGUGUGGGGAAAACUAAGACUGGCCUAGCAGGAUUUUUACUCUCAAGCUAAUCUACACUCAACCUCAAAGAAUUUAUUAAAAUUCACAUUUAACCAUCUUAUCAGUAUACAUCUUCAAGAGCUUUCGUUUCUGGUACAAAAGUUUCAGCUGCAGUUACUUGUAUUCAUCUGUCUCUUCAGAUUUCGAGGUGGUGGUCUGUCUUGUGAGCUCAAGUCUCUGGUGAUUCUAAUAAAUGUCAUUGAUUUUUUAAGUCUUCUCAGAUUUAUUUCUUGUUUUUAGGAUGGGAGUGGUGACUUCCAAGCUUUUUACAUGUGAAAGGUAAACCAAAGUCAACGUGAAUCUCCUCUUCAUGUCUACAACUGAGCAACAGGUUUUUCAAACCUUGUAGCUCAACCCCUACUAUCUGACAGUCUUUCAGACACAGCUAAGAGUCUAUAUAUCUUUCUGUUUCACAACCUCGCUCUGAUACUCUCUGUGUGUUUCAUCAUUCUAUCUUUUAGCAUGGUUAGGAUGAUCCUCACCUAGAAUGGAGAAACCUCCAGAGAUUUGAAUCUGAGAAAACUAAGUUUCCUUGAUUCUUCAGUGUUUUUUCUGACUACUCAAUAGCAG